CCCAGUAUGACUUCCAUACCCACCGCUCACGGGUACUGUAUGACUGCUGGGGUGUCCUAUCAUCGGGGAGAUGUGGCCACUGUAUCCUCCAUGUGAUGAAUGGCCACCGUGCCCGGAACUCAACGCCAAGAAUGGCUAUUUUCCUUGAGGAGCAACACUUACCAUGAGCACCAUAGCCUCCAGCAUUACCACCGCCUCCUCUUCCUACAUAAAAAAAUAGCAAAACAGCUACCAGCAACGAGGUCCUCUGUAAAACAGAAACAAUUUAAAUUGGGAAUUGUAGCCAAUGAUAUAUGCUUUCAAAAUAGAAUUGAGCAAACCGUAAU